AUCUGAAAUCAGGUGGGAAUACCC
rnacentral:rRNA from 1 species